rnacentral:tRNA from 1 species
CAGCACCUAGCCGAGCAGGCGAUCGCCAGCGGCUUCUACCGCCGCGAGAUCACCCCGGUGACCCUGCCGGACGGUUCUACCGUCGACGCCGAC